AGAAAAUUGGUGGAUUUCAAGUAAUCAAGCCAUCAAAGUGGUGAAUCCUCCGAAAAAAGGCAAAGAAAUUGCACCUGAGGAUCAAUAGUCGGAGUACUCCAAAAUUCAAACUCCUGAUACAUGGACGGGUUCAGUGGACCAGCCUUGAGGUUAAAACUUUAGAGUUCACUUCACGCCAAACCACCACGUGAGGGAAAACUCAGCCAAC